rnacentral:rRNA from 1 species
CCUACGGGAGGCUGCAGUGGGGAAUAUUGGACAAUGGGGGCAACCCUGAUCCAGCCAUGCCGCGUGUGUGAAGAAGGCCCUCGGGUUGUAAAGCACUUUCAGUGAGGAAGAACGCCUGGUGGUUAAUACCCAUCAGGAAAGACAUCACUCACAGAAGAAGCACCGGCUAACUCCGUGCCAGCAGCCGCGGUAAUACGGAGGGUGCGAGCGUUAAUCGGAAUUACUGGGCGUAAAGCGCGCGUAGGUGGCUUGAUAAGCCGGUUGUGAAAGCCCCGGGCUCAACCUGGGAACGGCAUCCGGAACUGUCAAGCUAGAGUGCAGGAGAGGAAGGUAGAAUUCCCGGUGUAGCGGUGAAAUGCGUAGAGAUCGGGAGGAAUACCAGUGGCGAAGGCGGCCUUCUGGACUGACACUGACACUGAGGUGCGAAAGCGUGGGUAGCAAACAGGAUUAGAUAUCCGAGUAGUC